UUGGAGGGCAAGUCUGGUGCCAGCAGCCGCGGUAAUUCCAGCUCCAAUAGCGUAUAUUAAAGUUGUUGCAGUUAAAAAGCUCGUAGUUGAAUUUCGGGAUCAAUACGUCGGUCGUGCUUUCGGGUACGUACUGGCGUCAUUGGUUUCUCCUUUCUGACGAACCAUGAUGUCAUUAAUUUGGUGUUAUGGGGAGUUAGGACUGUUACUUUGAAAAAAUUAGAGUGUUUAAAGCAGGCAUUAGCUUGAAUACAUUAGCAUGGAAUAAUGAAAUAGGACGUUCGAUCCUAUUUUGUUGGUUUCUAGGAUCAACGUAAUGAUUAAUAGGGAUAGUUGGGGGCAUUAGUAUUCAAUUGUCAGAGGUGAAAUUCUUGGAUUUAUUGAAGACUAACUACUGCGAAAGCAUUUGCCAAGGAUGUUUUCAUUAAUCAAGAACGAAAGUUAGGGGAUCGAAGACGAUCAGAUACCGUCGUAGUCUUAACCAUAAACUAUGCCGACUAGGGAUCGGAUGAUGUUAAUUUUUAAUGUACUCAUUCGGACGCCUUAC
rnacentral:rRNA from 1 species